CUUGUAACUCAAACGCCCAAAAGGAAAAAUCUUUCAUCCAGGCAAUCAGACAAUGGAUUCACUCAUAAUAAAUUGCCCAAGAAUAUCCUGAACUUUUGUACCAUGGGCAAUUAAUCUAAGCCAUCAAAGCUGCUGUAAAGGGAAAAAGUAAAAAUCAUUGAGGUCGUGACACAAAGCCUUUUUUGCCCUCCCUCCCUUUUCAAAGGCCAAGGCUCCACCGACUUGCUGUCGGCCAAUAUCAUCGCAAGACGAAAAGAAAAAAUAUGAAAUUUUCUGUGGCUAAACGCUUUUCCUGUCGUUCUCGCUCUCCGUAAGAAAUUAUUAAAAUGCCCUUUGUGCGGGUUCCCCUGACUUGUGCAGGCGCGUCCGCAGUUAUUUGCGGCAUAAUCGUAGAAAAGGAGCGUUGCAGAUCAGUUGGUCGUCGAUGUUUGCUAGCAGCGAUCGUUCCAUUCUGUUCUGUCGAUGCCGCUGCCCAAGGCCUGGUCUUCCACUGACCUUGCCUUCUCCGGCGAGCGUCUCGGCCCGAGGUGGCGCAUGGAUUGACUGAUAACCGACGUUCAACGGCUACCCGUGAGUCAGACGAAAGCGGAAAGUAAUACAGGAGAAAGUGGACUCAAUCCCUUGGCCCGCCGGUGUAUAAGUUUAGGAUCGAAUCGCCAGAGAAGAUACAAUUGUCGGCGCAGCUGGAAACAGGUGGCUCGUUGCUCUCAGUCCCCAACUACAGCUGUCACAAAAAACGACGCUAUUUGGCGGCACAGCAUUAUUCAUGGAAGAAUAUGACUUUCAUGGUCCGCCCAAGAAUACUGAUUAUCUAAUAUUAUAAGCAUUUGGAAGCCAACUCACGCAACUGUAAAGCAUGAUUACAGAUUGGCCAUUCUCUCAGCACAACCAUCGAUUAUAUAUAUUCAGAUCUGCUGUAUGUUUCAGACGCUUGAGAUUGGCCAUUCUCUCAGCACAUCCAUCCAUUAUAUAUGCAGCACUGCGGGAUGUUACAAACACUUGAGAGAGAAUGUGCAUGCAGAAGAUGAUAGCUAUUGUCACAAGUUCCAGUCUAAAGCUUCUCCCUGAAUUGAUGCAAGAUCUUUCCACGAGAGAGUCACUUUCCGUUUUAAGCUCCUCCUACACGCUCCUCCUAGAUCGGGCUGAUUAUCCUUCCGGAUUUGGCCCCUUGGUACACGUGGUGCUUCUACCUUCCGAGUUUAGACCCUUCCUAACUUCUCGCCAAUCAAUUUGAAAACUUCCCCACUUGGACGUGAGAGGCCUUCCAAAAUUAACGAGGGCAGUUGUAACUCCUUGCCCGGAUUUGGCAACUUCCUCCUCCUCACGUUAAUGCACCUUUCUAUUUGACGGCG